GAUGCAGCGACGCCGCGUGCGGGAUGACGGCCUUCGGGUUGUAAACCGCUUCCAGCAGGGAAGAAGCUUUUUUGUGACGGUACCUGCAGAAGAAGCGCCGGCUAACUACGUGCCAGCAGCCGCGGUAAUACGUAGGGCGCGAGCGUUAUCCGGGAAUUAUUGGGCGUAAAGGGCUCGCAGGCGGUUUGCCACGUCUGCUGUGAAAGCCCGGGGCUUAACUCCGGGUGUGCAGUGGGUACGGGUAGACUAGAGUGCAGUAGGGGAGACUGGAAUUCCUGGUGUAGCGGUGAAAUGCGCAGAUAUCAGGAAGAACACCGAUGGCGAAGGCAGGUCUCUGGGCUGUUACUGACGCUGAGGAGCGAAAGCAUGGGGAGCGAACAGGAUUAGAUACCCUGGUAGUCCAUGCCGUAAACGUUGGGCACUAGGUGUGGGGAACAUUCCACGUUUUCCGCGCCGUAGCUAACGCAUUAAGUGCCCCGCCUGGGGAGUACGGCCGCAAGGCUAAAACUCAAAGGAAUUGACGGGGGCCCGCACAAGCGGCGGAGCAUGCGGAUUAAUUCGAUGCAACGCGAAGAACCUUACCAAGGCUUGACAUGGACCGGAUCGCUGCAGAGAUGUAGUUUCCCUUCGGGGCUGGUUCACAGGUGGUGCAUGGUUGUCGUCAGCUCGUGUCGUGAGAUGUUGGGUUAAGUCCCGCAACGAGCGCAACCCUUGUCCUAUGUUGCCAGCACGUAGUGGUGGGGACUCAUGGGAGACUGCCGGGGUCAACUCGGAGGAAGGUGGGGAUGACGUCAAAUCAUCAUGCCCCUUAUGUCUUGGGCUUCACGCAUGCUACAAUGGCCGGUACAGUGGGUUGCGAUACUGUGAGGUGGAGCUAAUCCCUAAAAGCCGGUCUCAGUUCGGAUCGAAGUCUGCAACUCGACUUCGUGAAGUUGGAGUCGCUAGUAAUCGCACAUCACCAAUGCUGCGGUGAAUACGUUCCCGGGCCUUGUACACACCGCCCGUCAAGUCACGAAAGUCGGUAACACCCGAAGCUCUAAGCCAACCCCUUUGUGGGAGGGAGUGGUCGAAGGUGGGACCGGCGAUGGA
rnacentral:rRNA from 1 species